GGAGGGGUGUCCGAGUGGUUGAAGGAGCACGCUUGGAAAGCGUGUAUAGGCAGUGAUGUUUAUCUGGGGUUCGAAUCCCCAUCCCUCCGCCA
rnacentral:tRNA from 3 species